CAGCAGCCACGGGAAUACGUAGGUGGCAAGCGUUGUCCGGAAUUAUUGGGCGUAAAGGGCUCGCAGGCGGUUUCUUAAGUCUGAUGUGAAAGCCCCCGGCUCAACCGGGGAGGGUCAUUGGAAACUGGGAAACUUGAGUGCAGAAGAGGAGAGUGGGAUUCCACGUGUAGCGGUGAAAUGCGUAGAGAUGUGGAGGAACACCAGUGGCGAAGGCGACUCUCUGGUCUGUAACUGACGCUGAGGAGCGAAAGCGUGGGGAGCGAACAGGAUUAGAUACCCCGGUAGUCCCUGUCUCUUAUAC
rnacentral:rRNA from 1 species